UAUGUAUCUAUAUUCUCUAUAUAUUCUAGUUGUUAGAAUAUGUUAAAAAAAACUCAGCAAAAAGAAACACAAUCUGAUUAAAAAAUGGACAAAGGACCUAUAUAUCUAUAUUCUAUAUAGUUAUUAGAAUAUAUUUAAGAAACUCCUACAACUCAACAAAACAACCCCAAUCUGAUUAAAAAUGGACAAAGGACUUAUAUAAACAUUUCUCCGAAGAAGAUAUACAGAUGGCCCACAAGCACGUGAAAAGGUGCUCCAUGUCACUGAUCCUGAGGGAGGCAGACAAGGACCACGUUGAGACACCACCACACACCCUCUAGGACGGCUACUAUCAACGCGCACACACGGAAAAUAAGCGUUGGUGAGGAUGUGGAGGAAUUGGAGCCUUGUGCAUUGAGGGUAAAAAUGUAAAAUGCUGGAGGCACUAUGGGAAACAGUAUGGUAAUUCCUCAAAAAACGAAAUAUAGAAUUACCAUGGGCUCCAGCAAUUCCACUGCUGGGUAUAAAUCCACGAGAACUGAAAACAGGGUCUCAAAGCCAUGUCUGCACACCCAUGCUCACAGCGACAUUAUCCACAACAGCCACGAGGGGGAAGCAACAGUGUGUCCCUCCACAAACGGGCAUUCUCAUGAUCAAAAUGUGGCGUCUGCAUACAGUGGAAUGUUAUCCAGCCUUUAACAGGAGGGGGCUCCUGUCACAGCUACAGCAUGGAGGAACCCUGAGGACACUAUGCUCAGUGAAGUCUCAUUAACAAAAGAAGGUUAAGUCCAUGACUGAUGCUGCCAUCAUCAGCAACAGGACGUGCGCCAAGUUUUCCUGGUGGCACCACCCCAGCCUGGCCUGUGACAAGGGGCCUGCAGAGAGUCAGGCACACCGGAUUUUCUUUCAGGCCAAACAGAAGAGCAAGGGUUUCCCCAAAUUCGAGAGCACGGGGCUGGGAAGAAGAGCCAAGCGCCAGCAGUGUCCUC
ensembl:lncRNA novel transcript, antisense to YPEL1